GCGAACCAACCAGCCGAGCCCCCUCGAGUAAAUCCUUUGUCCACUCCCCUCCCCUCCCCACUCGCCGGCGCUGCGCUUCCCUCCCGCGAUGGCCGCCGCAGCCGCGACGAAGGUCCCCGCGACGAUGCGGGCCGUGCAGUACGACGCCUGCGGCGGGGGCGCCGAGGGGCUCAAGGUAACCGCCGCGCACCACUUCCUCUCCCCCCACCCACCCAACCCCUGCUAAUUGUUUUCAGGGAAGGGCCCCCAAGCUUACCCGCAGAUCAGUGAUUCCUGUGUGUUAGUGGUGAGGACGACGCGAUUAGUCAAUUGCUCGAUUCGGCAGUUCAUGGCCCCGUCGGUUAUCUACAAUAUGACCCCAUUAGUGCUCGCAAUCAGCAACUGCUGAUUGGUUGGUUAUUUUUUUGUGCUAUCUACUAGUCUGACUAGUUGCUGUGUGGCUCCCUGGCGGCCUCUCCGUUUGGAAAUUACAGCCGUUUCACCUGAUUCCGAUUCCGCCAUGCUACUUGCUACAAAUAGUGCCGUCUUUCUAUAUUGCGGCUGCCAAAGUCAAAAGCAUGUAGUGCUAGACGGACUAGUAGAUGGUGGAAGUGGAACGCUGUCGCAGUCGGAUUACACAAUAUGUGUGCCUGGUGUUUGCUGCCGAGAAGAGUCCGGCGGACUAUCCGCGUGUCCUACAAAAAGUAGUCAUCAGGCUCAGAGGAACAAGAUUAAUCUGCUACUAGUCUGUGUUCCAGAUCGAAUAGUCAAUUGCGUGGCUUGCUGGUGACUUGAAUUGGGUCAGUUAUUCUCUGGCUGAAGAUCUAGUUGUUUCAACGCACAGUAAAACUAUAAAUUAAUAAGGGGAAUUUAGUUGUUUUCUGUACCAUUUGAUUCUGUUCCUACGUAGUUAGCAAAAAUUUUAAAUUUGUGUCCAUCUUUAAAUUGAAGUCAUUGGAAAGAAACUGCUGGACAAAUUCUGAAAUGCCUCUAAUGCAGCAUGUGGAAGUUCCCGUCCCUUCGGUGAAGAAGAAUGAGCUCCUGUUGAAGCUGGAAGCAGCUAGCAUUAAUCCGGUGGAUUGGAAGAUACAGAAAGGGAUGUUACGGCCUUUCCUGCCUCGCAAACUGCCCUUUAUCCCAGGUAUUCUGAUUUCGAAAAAGAAUUGAUAGUUUCUACCUCUAUUAUCAUUUCAAUGGUCAACUUCCCCGUAAUGAUAUCGUCCUUAUUCCUCAUUUUCAUUGGGCCCCAUGCACUCAUUUGGUACUGGUGGAUGAAUUUUGACUUCGACCAAUAAUUGGCCAUUUCUUUCACUGUUCUGUUACUUCAAUUUCCUUUACAAAUCAAUAUGUGCUUGUUAUGAUGUAAAUACCUGAUGUUUAUGUAUGGGUCUAACUUCAGCUUUAUGUGAUACUAUAUAUGUUUUUUCUAAUCUCUGAUGACUGGUAAUAAUGACAUAUACCCUGACAGAGGGAUCAAACAUUGCUUAGCCCAUGCAUUUUAGGAACCUCAGUCUGUUUACACAUUAUUAAGAUUGUAUUGCAGAAACAAUGAUGUCUGUGUCCAUUUCACCUUAUUUGUGCAUAUGAAAAAUCUUAAGUCUAAAUUUUUAUCAUAAAAGAGAAAACUGGGAGAGAGUAAAGAGUGAUGCUUUCUUCAACUUCUCUAAGGCUGAUGUAUCUCUUGGUGUUUCUUCAUGGAAAGAACCUUAUAUUAUAAUUUAUAACAAAUGAGCAAUAACCAUUUUUUACCUGCCUAUAUGGCUGAAGGGUGUGAGUUCUGUGCGAUACUUUGCUUGUUCUCUGCUCAUGUAACCUGCGGGCUGCGGCGGCCUUAUUUUUGUUUGCAGUAACAGCAAUUCUUGUCAUGCAAAUCCUUUCAUAUAAUAUUUUGAAAUAUUCUAUAAUCAGUUCUGCUAAUCCUUCCAACUUCUGCAGUGACUGAUGUGGCAGGAGUAGUGGUUGAUGUUGGUCCAGGAGUCAAUGGGUUCCAAGCUGGAGAUGAAGUUGUUGCCAUGCUGAACUCAUUUGUAAGCACGCUUCCUCCUGACUUUUUAGUAGUUGAAAGCUGUACAUCGGUUUGCUAGAUAUGUUGAUGCUUUCGGUGUGCUUUCAUCAUCUGUUGGAAGGUAAAGUUAUGUUCUAACUCAUGUUAACGCUGCCUGGCAUUUUCACAGUAUGGAGGUGGACUCGCUGAGUAUGCUGUGGCAUCUGAAAGUCUGACCGUCAAGAGGCCUCCUGAGGUAUCUGCUGCUGAAGGUGCAGGGCUGCCCAUCGCAGCCGGCACUGCGCUCCAGGCUUUGAGGUCCAUUGGCGCCAAGUUCGACGGUACUGGCCAGCCCUUAAACGUGCUGAUCACUGCAGCAUCCGGUGGCGUUGGGCUCUACGCCGUGCAGCUCGCGAAGCUGGCAGGUCUCCACGUCACUGCCACCUGUGGAGCCCGCAAUGUGGAGCUGUUGAAGAGCCUGGGUGCGAAUGAGGUGCUUGACUACAGGACCCCAGAGGGUGCCAGCCUGCAGAGCCCAUCAGGAAAGAAGUACGAUGGCGUCGUCCACUGCACGGUCGGGAUCAGCUGGUCGACGUUUGAACCUGUGCUGGCCCCUACCGGGAGGGUGAUCGACAUCACCCCGAACUUCGCCGCCAUCCUUAAAUCAGGGUUGCACAAGGUGACAUUCGCCAAGAAGCGGCUGGUGCCACUGCUCCUGUCGCCCAACAAGGCCGACCUGGAGUUCCUGGUCGAGCUGCUGAAGGACCGCAAGAUGAAGACACUGAUCGACUCAAGGUUCCCAUUGAGCGAGGCAAGCAAGGCUUGGCAGAAGAGCAUCGAGGGCCAUGCAACGGGCAAGAUCAUCGUUGAGAUGGAAGGCUGAUCGGCGCCGCCAUUAACAGCAGCAAGAAGUAUACUGUAGCAGGCAAUACUGGGUUGACAGGCUGGGUGUGGCUUCGUCGU
rnacentral:lncRNA from 1 species